rnacentral:rRNA from 2 species
GCGAGAGUAGUACUAGGAUGCGUGACCCCCUGGGAAGUCCUCGUGUUGCAUCCCU